AGGGAUAUAACUCAGUGGUAGAGUAUCACCUUGACGUGGUGAUAGUCAUCGGUUCGAAUCCGAUUAUCCCUA
rnacentral:tRNA from 11 species